GAAUUUCCGCAUUCGACGCACGCGAUCGCCUCACUUAUUUCGCCAAGAGUUGAGUUUUCUCUAACCGCGGAAGCCGGCCCACGAAUCGAACCCGUCCGAUAGCCCUGUACGUCGUGUACGAAGGUCCACUUCCGCAUCGACAAUGACUGAUAUUUUAGAAAAGUGAAUUAGUUCGCGAGGAUAAACCGGGUGAAGUCACACGGAGUUACGUCGCGCGCAAGGUCGCCCGUAAUCGCCGCACAUGUUUCCUAAAUUUGGGAAAGCAUAUCGAAAUGGAAAUCGGUCGUACUCUCUCGACGAGGGAAGCGAUGGACGAUAAACGUAUUCCCGGUGACCGAAUAUUCUCAGAUAAUUAUAGGUAGAACGAGUGGAAAUCAAAGUACCCGCUACCGCGAUCCGUCAGGUGAAGUUACAU
rnacentral:misc_RNA from 1 species